AUUGAACGCUGGCGGCAGGCCUAACACAUGCAAGUCGAACGGUAACACGGAUCAGCUUGCUGAUUCGCUUACGAGUGGCGGGCGUGUGAGUAAUGUCUGGGACACUGCCUUAUGGAGGGGGAUACCUACUGGAAACGGUAGCCAAGACCGCAUAUCGUCGCAAGACCAAAGAGGGGGACCUUCGGGCCUCUUGCCAUCGGAUGUGCCCAGAUGGGAUUAGCUAGUAGGUGGGUUAUCGGCUCACCUAGGCGACGCUCCCUAGCUGGUCUGAGAGGAGGACCAGCCACCCUGGAACUGAGACACGGUCCAGACUCCUACGGGAGGCAGCAGGGGGGAAUAGUGCACAUAGGGCGCAAGCCUGAUGCAGCCAGGCCGCGUGUAGGAAGAAGGCCUUCGGGUUGUAAAGUACUUUCAGCGGGGAGGAAGGGAGUAAAGUUAAUACCUUUGCUCAUUGACGGUACCCGCAGAAGAAGCACCGGCUAACUCCGUG
rnacentral:rRNA from 1 species